AGAGUUUGAUCCUGGCUCAGGAUGAACGCUGGCGGCGUGCCUAACACAUGCAAGUCGAACGGGAGGUUUACUUCGGUAGACUUUUAGUGGCGAACGGGUGAGUAACACGUUGGUGACCUGCCCUGAAGCGGGGGACAACUCCUCGAAAGAGGAGCUAAUACCCCAGAUGUCUAAGGGAUUAGAAAGCUUAGACUAAAGUUGCGGCGCUUUGGGAGGGGCCUGCGGGCUAUCAGCUAGUUGGUGAGGUAACGGCUCACCAAGGCGAAGACGGCUAGGGGGCGUGAGAGCGUGACCCCCCACAAUGGAACUGAGAAACGGUCCAUACUCCUACGGGAGGCAGCAGUGAGGAAUAUUGAGCAAUGGGCGCAAGCCUGACUCAGCAACGCCGCGUGGAUGAUGAAGGCCUUCGGGUUGUAAAAUCCUUUUCUGGGGGAAGAUAAUGACGGUACCCCAGGAAUAAGUUCCGGCUAACUACGUGCCAGCAGCCGCGGUAAAACGUAGGGGACAAGCGUUAUCCGGAUUUACUGGGCGUAAAGCGCAUGUAGGUGGCACGGAAAGUUGGAUGUGAAAGCUCCCGGCUUAACUGGGAGAGGUCAUUCAAAACUACCGAGCUUGAGGAUGGAAGAGGAGAGCGGAAUUCCCGGUGUAGUGGUGGAAUGCGUAGAUAUCGGGAGGAACACCAGUGGCGAAAGCGGCUCUCUGGUUCGUGCCUGACACUGAGAUGCGAAAGCGUGGGGAGCGAACGGGAUUAGAUACCCCGGUAGUCCACGCUGUAAACGAUGGAUACUAGGUGUAGGAGG
rnacentral:rRNA from 1 species